GACGAACGCUGGCGGCGUGCUUAACACAUGCAAGUCGAACGGAAAGGCCCUGCUUUUGUGUGGUGCUCGAGUGGCGAACGUGUGAGUAACACGUGAGUAACCUUCCCUUGACUUUGGGAUAACUUCAGGAAACUGGUGCUAAUACCGGAUAGGAGCUCCUGCUGCAUGGUGGGGGUUGGAAAGUUUCGGCGGUUGGGGAUGGACUCGCGGCUUAUCAGCUUGUUGGUGGGGUAGUGGCUUACCAAGGCUUUGACGGGUAGCCGGCCUGAGAGGGUGACCGGCCACAUUGGGACUGAGAUACGGACCAGACUCCUACGGGAGGCAGCAGUGGGGAAUAUUGCACAAUGGGCGGAAGCCUGAUGCAGCAACGCCGCGUGCGGGAUGACGGCCUUCGGGUUGUAAACCGCUUUAGCCUGUGACGAAGCGUGAGUGACGGUAAUGGGUAAAGAAGCACCGGCUAACUACGUG
rnacentral:rRNA from 1 species